rnacentral:rRNA from 1 species
UACGGAGGGGGUUAGCGUUGUUCGGAAUGACUGGGCGUAAAGCGCGCGUAGGCGGGCAUUUAAGUCGGGGGUGAAAUCCCGGGGCUCAACCCCGGAAUGGCCUUCGAUACUGGGUGCCUAGAGUUCGAGAGAGGUGAGUGGAAUUCCGAGUGUAGAGGUGAAAUUCGUAGAUAUUCGGAGGAACACCAGUGGCGAAGGCGGCUCACUGGCUCGACACUGACGCUGAGGUGCGAAAGCGUGGGGAGCGAACAGG